AACGCCGAACCCGAGCCCUCCUUCCCCGAUCUCCCGUCUCUUCCCUUCUUCCUUGUUCUCUCGCGGACGAGUAGAAGUCGGCAGACCUCUGCGACCAUCUUCAUUCGCCAGAGGAGCACGUCAUCGGAGCUCGACUGAAACCAGCGGAAUCUAGGUCAUCUUCGGCCGAGGGAUCUCUGUUCCUCGUGCGUUUCUGCUCCUGGCAAGCGGCAACCCUUCUUUUUGCUCGACGUUGCUGGCGCAGAUCGGGUCUCGGAGCUAGCUACAACAACCCUUCUCUCCUCUGGUUUCUUACUUCUCGUCGACUUCAGCAAGCGACAGGAUCUCGUCUCCUCGCGUCAACAGCCGAUGCCCCUGGAUCGAGCUAUCGCCGAUCGCCGGCGUGAAGGGGCAAUUAGGGUUCCACGGAUCGGAUCUUGGAUCCCUUGUUUGUUGCUGCUGAUUAAGACCUCGAUCGAGUGGGGAAGAAUUUCCAACAGGGAGGUCUUGCUGUGGUGUUCUGCAAUCCAGCAACGUCUCCUUCCGGCAGCAAUCAUCUAUGGUUGAGGAUGAACAGAGAGUGAAUUGUUGAUUCCAAUCUUGAUCCGAUCAGUGAGAACCUCCAUCCAACAACAUCUUCGUUGACAGCAGCUCGAUCCGGGCAAAGAGGAGGUUCUGUUCCAUUCUAUUGGAUUCUAUGGAUUGAUGGGUUCCAACAGUGAUGAUCUUCAGUGGUGGAUUAAUGGAUGAGGGCUGUGAGAUUUCUUGUUCUUGGUUCUGGUAACAUUCCCACCUGCCAUUUCCCCUAGUUCCAGCAGAUCACCUUAUAUUCCAGUGGUUGAAUUGAGGUUCGUAUAGAGGUAGUUGAUACAUGAUGUGAAUGUAUUGAAUUAGGCUUAUGUGUAGGUAUUUGAUCCGGGUUGUAGAUUUUAGUAUAAUAGUGAUUGCAUGAUCAUGUGUAGGUUGUAAUUAGUGGUUGAUUGUGAUUAGAUAUAUUUACUUAGAUUUAAUCGAAUGGAAUGAUUAGGGUUAAGGUAACUAACCCUAGUCAACUAUUGGGUUUAAUUUAAGUUUAGAUUUCUAAUCUAAUUGGUGAUUAGGGAUUAGGUAACUAACCC